rnacentral:rRNA from 1 species
UCAAAUGAAUUGACGGGGAGCACCACAACGGGUGGAGCCUGCGGUUUAAUUGGACUCAACGCCGGGCAGCUCACCGGAUAAGACAGCAAUAUGAAGGCCAGGCUGAAGACUUUGCCGGAUUAGCUGAGAGGUGGUGCAUGGCCGUCGUCAGUUCGUACUGUGAAGCAUCCUGUUAAGUCAGGCAACGAGCGAGACCCACGCCCACAGUUGCCAGCGUACUCUCCGGAGUGACGGGUACACUGUGGGGACCGCCGCUGCUAAAGCGGAGGAAGGAAUGGGCAACGGUAGGUCAGUAUGCCCCGAAUACCCCGGGCUACACGCGGGCUACAAUGGUUGGUACAAUGGGUAUCUACCCCGAAAGGGGACGGGAAUCUCCUAAAACCAAUCUUAGUUCGGAUUGAGGGCUGCAACUCGCCCUCAUGAAGCUGGAAUCCGUAGUAAUCGCGUUUCAACAGAACGCGGUGAAUACGUCCCUGCUCCUU